rnacentral:lncRNA from 1 species
AUAUACAUGGAAAUAGAACUACUAUACUCGUUAGGAUUAAGAGAAAAUGCAAUUUAGGACACUUCAAACAUGUUUCAAAAUAUUAAGGGAAAGCCAAAAUAUCUUCACUGCUAUAUUUUUUUGGAAAUCUUUGUAUCCAACAAACUUUAAGUGAGACACAUUGACUUUUAACGGAACUCAAUGUAUUUAUAAGCUGGUGAAAAUUAAAGAAAAUUAUAAUCAUAUUCCAAAUUUAACAUAUACAAAACCGAUGUAAGAAAAAAGAAUUCUCAUACUUCAAUCAAAUUUUGAUCCCACUUAUUACCUAAAACCCAUGUAACCGACCUACCACACAUCGAGAGAUGGCAUUAGUGAUUUCUUACCAGGUUGUUUAUGAUGAACUCGCCAAAUUUC